rnacentral:rRNA from 1 species
CACGCCGUAAACUAUGAUUACUGGUUGUUUGCGAUAUAUUGUAAGUGACUGAGUGAAAGCAUUAAGUAAUCCACCUGGGGAGUACGUCGGCAACGAUGAAACUCAAAGGAAUUGACGGGG